UUUGGGUUUGAUAUGCAAAGGAGACCAAGAGCCACAGGAACUGCCCGACGGAUAUUUUGUUCCCCAUACUGCAAAAGAUGCUCCAAUGAACGAAUUGCCAUUUCAAGCCCCAAUUCCUCUGCCAUUGCAACCAUGGCAAUCCCUAGCACAGCUGGUCCCUGGUGGGUUUCACCCUUCUCAAGAUGCUGAGCACAAUGACCCAGGAGGUUUUGAACCUUAAGAACAUUCCCAGUCCCCGCAAAGGCACAAGAAAGCAGUGUCAUAUCACAGCAUUUUCUGAUUUUCUCAUUAAAUGUCUUUGAAACUUCUGCUGUGGCCUCCACACUUUCCUGCUUCCCGAGGUAUAGAAGACC
rnacentral:misc_RNA from 1 species